GGCCUUGAUUAGGUUCUCCCUUCCUUGCCAGCUUCACUGGCUCUCCCCUGACCACUGCAGGCUAGCGGUGGUGCCCAGGACGCUGUAUCCAUCCUGCAGUCUUGAGGGGAGUGCACUGAGGACAAUGCUGCCACAAUGAGGAUGGCAGAGAGGAAAAAUGGAAAGAGCCUCAGUCACGGAGACUCAGUCAACCCUGGAGCUGCUCUACCUUGGGACUUCUUAAGGAGAAUUAUGAAAGACAUACUGUUGUUUUAAAUUUCAAACCACAGUUACCUGUGUAACUAAAGAACCUCUAAGUCCCUCAAUAGGAAAAAGUGGAAACUGACCCAGAGGAUGCCAGACAGAAGGAUAUAUCCAACUGCAGUUCUUACCAGCAUACAGCCCAUCCUCUAUCUUUGUUGCCAUAAUCUAUACAGUUCCCAGGAGUCUAGAAGUUUGCUUCCAAGGAGCCCAAAUCUGAGUUCUUUCUAAUUUGGACUGUGGAUGAAGAUGCCGGUGGAGGUGGAAAAGGGAUCAGAAGAUGGAGUUUACAUUGUGAUUCUCUCCUUGAGCUUUGGCAAGUCAUCUUGUUUCUCUGAGCUUCAGGUUUCUGUUCUGAGAAUAAAAAUGACCCUGGCCCUAUGCACCUUUCAGGGUUGUAAGUGACAGCAGAUACCCUGUGAGCAAUCUACUUACUAAUUAAUCCUUACUAAACUGUAAGCACUACACAAAUAUUAGUCUUCAUGAUCAGGAUUUCCACAGCUUGAUGCCAGGGUUUAAGGAUUAUGAGGGGAGAUAUAACCAUCAUCCCAGGCUUCUUUAAUCACAAAACCCUAAGGAAGAACUGCUGGAUCUCAAGUUUUACUAUUGUUGCCCUGAGCUGCCUGGGAACAAUGGUGAUACUCUCUAGCGCCUGAGAGAUGGCUGUUAUUAUUUUAAGUGUUUAUUUAGAUUAUCUUUCUUUUAAGGAUUUUCACUUAUUCAACCCACUGCUUUGCUUUUUUUUUGUUGUUUAUUUAUUUUUGGUGUUUAAAAGCAUUGUUUAUGAAAGCAAGGCAUUCUUGAGCUUUGAUCAAACGUUGAUACAUGUGGAUCAUGGAUUAAAGGUUUACCCAACAGAAUGAUUCCUGACUGCCUUUCUAGAAGGAACACAAUGGGUAGCAUAGAUUUUAAUGUCAGCCUGGGUUUAAAUUCCAGUUCUACGACUUUCUAGCUUUAAGACCUUGAGCAAAUUUCAUUAUUUAACAUCUAUGAGCCUCAGUUUCCUUAUCUAUAAAACAAAGAUUUCCAACUUCAUUGGAUUUUUGUGAGGAUGAAAAAAGACGAUACUUAGCCCAGGGUGCAGAAUGCAGUAAGAAGUUAAUAAAUCUAGCUGUUAUUACUGGGCCUGGACAAUGAGUGAUCAAGGUCAGAGUCUCAGCUUAGGAAAGAGGGUGGCAGGGCUGGCUUUGGCAAACUGGAAGGAAGAGGAUUUGACAGUUAUCAAUUGCCUACUUUGUGCCAAGUACUUUUCCAUAUGCUCUGUCCCUUGAUCUUCACAACUCUGAAAUAGAGCUAUUAAUUCAUAUUUACAUGUGACAAAACAGAGGCUCAGCGAGAUUAAAUAAUUUGUGUAAAGUCACACACAUUAUUAGUUGUCCAUUUGAGUCCAAGCCUGACUGAUUCCCAAGUCCAGGGUCUUUCUUUUAUUCUGUGUGACCCCAACCCUUUCAUGUUGCCUUGCAUGGGCCCCAUAACCAAACUGGACUGCCCUUUCCCAAGUACCUUCACCUGUCACAUCUCUCUCCUCCUCUUGCCUCCACCCCCAACCCAGCCAACCUCUGGAUGCAUGCCUCGCUUUCAGGUGUUUCAGGCAGAGCAGGACUUGCAUGUGAUGGGAUGCUGUAGAGCUGGC